ensembl:misc_RNA Metazoa_SRP Metazoan signal recognition particle RNA
GCUGGGUGUGGUGGCUCACACCUGUAAUCCAAGCGCUUUGGAGGCCAAGGUGGGAAGAUCACCUGAGGUCGGGAGUUCAAGACCAGCCUGACCAACAUGGUGAAACCCCGCCUUUA